UCAUCUUUUUCUCUUUGACUCUGAUGCUCAUUCUGCACCAUGCUGCAUUAAAGGAAACAGAUUUCAUUCCUGCUCAACUGUAUGUCACACCAGGCUUUCACUGUUAAAACUACACAUUAUGUGUAGUAAGUCCUCCUUUGUGCUGAUUUAAAUCCCUGCUCAAUUUGUUUUCUGACUUGACUUUAUUGUACCUCGUGAAUUUGGAUGCAGUCACUGUUCCCUCUAAGCUGCGCGGGUGCGCAAUUGCGCACUGCUGACACGGUCUCCGCUCACAGAAAAUCUGCGCUGCGCACAAAAAAAAAAAAAAUUCAACCUAAAUUGUAAAUAAAAUAAACACGUAACAAUUCAUUCUGUGCUAUUUUUCAAUGUGAGUCAGUGAGUGACCGGUGACUGGCUGCUGCAGCCAAUGAUGCGAUUCACAUACGUAUUUACCAUAGACUGUAUAUAACGGUAUUUACGCAGCUAAUCAACGUCAAGCGUCCUUACGUGCAGCCACCGUUGUUCUCAUAGAUAUGAAUGAGUAGAUAGGACACGCCCCUUUGAGCUGCGGCUACAGCGAGGCUAAGCUAGUGGGGGCAAAGUUUCAGUGCAUUCCGUUGAUGUAGACGGCGUGAAAAUGGAAACAAGAAGUAUGCCGGCUCACUAUGCUGCAUACAAUUACACACUACGUCGUACGAUUGAGACAAGGAAACUUGGAAUGACUUUUCAUAGGUUUCCCAGAGACUAUGGGUUGAGGAGGAAUUGGAAGUCUGUCGGCUUAGACCUGGUGUCAUUCCAUCAGUGUUAAACUUCCCGGCUCAUCUUGGAAGAGUACGUGCCAGAAAGACCACGACCAAGUAGCCUUGAGAUCUUAGACAGCGUCUCCCUCAGACCAAAGAACUACAGACUCUUCACAACCUGCUCAAACUCUUGGUACAGGACCUCACCACACGGGUCAAGAAGGUUUCCAUCUCAUUUCUACUCUGAAGCUCACCUUCUCCUGCUCAAACUGCUGACAAAUGUUUCUGCUGCUCUAAAGUCUGGUCUCCAGAACUUCCUAAAAAACUCAAAGUCUCUUCUGCUGCAGGUUGCUUUGUAGAACUGUUCCAGAAAACCUCACUAAACCACAUGGAGGGGCCUCAAGAUAGUCGUCCAAAUGAAACCAUACAAAAACCAAACUAGCACAACCCAAAGGCUAAAGUCUCCUGCAGCCUACCAGAGAACCUCUGAGAACAGAGAAUCAGGACAGGAACUCUUACCUUCUGGACAACCAACCUUGGUUCACAAACAAGUAUACAGAAUGUGUCUGACCAGAAACCUCUAGAGACUCACUACAUCCAAGAUAAAGACACAACUCAGCUGGACCAAAUCCACUAAUCACUGCACACAUUAACACCAUGUGCUAACUGUGGCUAAAGAACCACAUUUACCAAGACAACUAUCCAGUACAAAGCCCUAAAACACACCAAGAAACACAUUAAAGACGAUUUUACUGCUGGAAGCUGCAAGCCAACGCCUAAAGAACAAACUAAAUCAACGAAGCCAAACCCGAUUCUGUGGUGAAGAGAAGCAGAGGAAAUGUUUGUCUGCAGCUAAAUAAAGCAGGAAGACACUGAGCUGCUCAGGUGUUCCUGAUAACACCAAGCAGCCACCUGGACAGCCAAUAGGAACACAGCUUCCUGGAAGUCCAGAGGGCUGGGUUAGUGAAGGAAAUUUAGUUUAAAGUUGAAGCAGAAAGUUAAUAAAGAAAGUUGAAAACCA